rnacentral:tRNA from 1 species
GCCUGGGUGGCUCAGUAGGUUAAGUGGCAGACUUCAGCUCAGGUCAUGAUCUCAUGGUUUGUGGGUUCGAGCCCCACGUCAGGCU